rnacentral:rRNA from 1 species
AUUGAACGCUGGCGGUAGGCUUAACACAUGCAAGUCGUGCGAGAAAGUAUCUUCGGAUAUGAGUAGAGCGGCGGACGGGUGAGUAACGCGUAGGAAUCUACCUAGUAGAAGGGGAUAGCCCGGGGAAACCCGGAUUAAUACCGUAUACCUCCUUCGGGAGAAAGAAGGCCUCUCUUUGAAGCUUUCGCUAUUAGAUGAGCCUGCGUAAGAUUAGCUUGUUGGUGAGGUAAAGGCUCACCAAGGCGACGAUCUUUAGCUGGUCUGAGAGGACGAUCAGCCACAUUGGGACUGAGACACGGCCCAGACUCCUACGGGAGGCAGCAGUGGGGAAUAUUGGACAAUGGGCGCAAGCCUGAUCCAGCCAUACCGCGUGUGUGAAGAAGGCCUUCGGGUUGUAAAGCACUUUAAGCAGGGAGAAAAAGUUAUAAGUUAAUACCUUAUAACCCUGAUGUUACCUGCAGAAUAAGCACCGGCUAAUUCCGUGCCAGCAGCCGCGGUAAUACGGAAGGUGCAAGCGUUAAUCGGAAUUACUGGGCGUAAAGCGCGCGUAGGUGGUUUGUUAAGUUGGAUGUGAAAGCCCUGGGCUCAACCUAGGAACUGCAUCCAAAGCUAACUCACUAGAGUACGAUAGAGGGAGGUAGAAUUCAUAGUGUAGCGGUGGAAUGCGUAGAUAUUAUGAAGAAUACCAGUGGCGAAGGCGGCCUCCUGGAUCUGUACUGACACUGAGGUGCGAAAGCGUGGGUAGCGAACAGGAUUAGAUACCCUGGUAGUCCACGCCGUAAACGAUGACAACUAGCUGUUGGGAGACUAUGUCUUUCAGUGGCGCAGCUAACGCUUUAAGUUGUCCGCCUGGGGAGUACGGCCGCAAGGCUAAAACUCAAAUGAAUAGACGGGGACCCGCACAAGCGGUGGAGCAUGUGGUUUAAUUCGAUGCAACGCGAAAAACCUUACCUACUCUUGACAUACUUGGAGGCUCUUGUAAUGAGAGUGUGCCUUUUGGAACCAAGAUACAGGUGCUGCAUGGCUGUCGUCAGCUCGUGUCGUGAGAUGUUCCGUUAAGUCGGAUAACGAGCGCAACCCUUACCCUUAUUUGCCAGCGAUUCGGUCGGGAACUAUAAGGGGACUGCCGGUGAUAAACCGGAGGAAGGUGAGGACGACGUCAAGUCAUCAUGGCCCUUACGAGUAGGGCUACACACGUGCUACAAUGGGAGAUACAGACGGACGCUAAGCCGCGAGGUGGUGCUAAUCCUAAAAAGUCUUUCGUAGUCCGGAUUGGAGUCUGCAACUCGACUCCAUGAAGUCGGAAUCGCUAGUAAUCGCGGAUCAGCAUGCCGCGGUGAAUACGUUCUCGGGUCU